UACAGCAGGAGAGAAAGAAGGAUAUGGAAAAGAAGAAAAAAUGAGACAGAAGGCCAAAGCUCUGAAGAUGCUUCAGAGAAUAAAGAAGAUCAUCAAAUUACUCUGAGGUCUUUAAACAUGGAAGACAUGAGACAGGCAAAGAGUCAGGUGGCUGCUAGUUUUGCAUCCGAAGGAACGGUUAUGAAUGAGCUGAAACAAUGGAAUGAAUUAUAUGGAGAAGGAGGUUCAAGGAAGAAGCAGCAACUCACUUACUUCCUUUAAAGUGUGUGCAAAAGCUGGUUUAUUUUGUGGACUUUGUAAACAUUGAUCUU